UCCAAGUUGACCGAGUGGUCUAAGGUGUCAGACUUAAGAUCUGAUCCUCGAAAGAGGGCGAGGGUUCAAACCCCUCACUUGGAAACA